CUCUAAAUUAAAUUUUAAAUCAGAGUUAGAGUUGCCCUCUGAGAUUGAAUAUACACACACACGUUCAUGUGAUUAAGGUCUGUCCCUUUCAAAGACACAGGAGUGGAGAGUGUACACAACAUUGUUUCAGGGCUAUCCUUCCUAGUAGCAGACAGAAAGCAUCUGGAGUGCUUUCUCAGAGUAAUUUAAAUCCAAAAGUUUGUGAAGGAUGAUGAAUCACAAGCAAAAGACAGGCCUUCAGGGUUCUUUCCACUGCGAGUUAGAAGGACAUCUAUUCAGGGAGCACUUCAAAGAACUCCAAGAGACAGGGAGGAACACUCAGGGAUUCUGCUGGAUUUGAUAGCUCUUUUACUGAAUCCUAAUACCUCUCUUCACAAGGGUUUUCAAGUCUUGAGCGUGUGAGAUAGCCUUGUUUUGUCCUGAUUUUUACCUCCAGUAUCUCUCUCUCUCUCAAACUGCUACUGUCUGUGAGAGAUGAUUAGGUCUUCUCUUCAAAAGAACAUAAACAGAACAACUGUUUAGUACAAAAACUCUUUUUAUAAAUUGUUAUCUAUGACCACCUGUGGCCAGUAGUUUUAUAUUUUUAGGUCAGCUCCUUGCAGUGCUUGCUAAUCCUCCAGCAGAGACCCUCAGACUCUCUUCUUCCUUUCCUUAUUUAGGCAACGGGGAGAUUGUAAGAUCUGAAGCCCAGCUCAGGGAUGGAAGAGACAGUUCUGCAUCAGCAGGACACAUGUUCUACAUAAAAGAAAACCUGUUGGAGACAAUGCAGACAAUAAAGGGUGGACUCUUUCCUCCUUGGUCGAUUGGAAGCAGCUUCAUCAGCAAACUUAAUACCAUCCUAUACCUCCUCAGAGUGAGGCAUCUAUCUCUUAGGGUGAAUGUGUAUGCUUUGGGGCAACGUUCACUUGUUUCCAGAUUGAGCUGUGUUCUGCUGUGCUAGUCAAUUUAUCUGAUUCGUAGGAAUUUUUCACCUCUGCUUCAUGCCACCAAGUUUGUUAAAACUUCAUAUAACAGUUGCUUCAGGAGCAGUUCUUUAUUUCUAUUGCCACCAUGGUUAUGGCUGAGGCUUGUUGCCAGCACUAUGAAACCACUACUCCUGGAAGCCAUUUUCUUUCUUUUCUUUCCCUAUUUUAUUCGAUAGGACAGACAGAACUUGAGAAGGGGAGAUAGGGAAAGACAAGCCUCCAGAACUGCUUCCUCUCCUGAAGUGUACCCCUUGCAAGUGGGGAGUGGGGAAUGAAACCCAGGUCUUUGAGUAUGGAAAUGUCUGUGAUCAACCAGGUGCACUACUACUUGGUCUCUGCAGCAGUUCUUGAUGUCAUGUAGUCCCUGUCAGUAAUUACCAAUGAUUAUAGGUUUUGUUGUUACUUGA